rnacentral:sRNA from 2 species
AUGUACCGCUCGUACACUGCGGUUCUGAGCGCGCCGUGCGCACCUACUUGCUUGACGACU